UGCGAAGGGGGGACGGAGAAGGCUAUGUUGGCCGGGCGACGGUUGUCCCGGUUUAAGCGUGUAGGCUGGUUUUCCAGGCAAAUCCGGAAAACCAAGGCUGAGGCGUGAUGACGAGGCACUACGGUGCUGAAGCGACAAAUGCCCUGCUUCCAGGAAAAGCCUCUAAGCAUCAGGUAACAUCAAAUCGUACCCCAAACCGACACAGGUGGUCAGGUAGAGAAUACCAAGGCGCUUGAGAGAACUCGGGUGAAGGAACUAGGCAAAAUGGUGCCGUAACUUCGGGAGAAGGCACGCUGAUAUGUAGGUGAAGCGACUUGCUCGUGGAGCUGAAAUCAGUCGAAGAUACCAGCUGGCUGCAACUGUUUAUUAAAAACACAGCACUGUGCAAACACGAAAGUGGACGUAUACGGUGUGACGCCUGCCCGGUGCCGGAAGGUUAAUUGAUGGGGUUAGCGGUAACGCGAAGCUCUUGAUCGAAGCCCCGGUAAACGGCGGCCGUAACUAUAACGGUCCUAAGGUAGCGAAAUUCCUUGUCGGGUAAGUUCCGACCUGCACGAAUGGCGUAAUGAUGGCCAGGCUGUCUCCACCCGAGACUCAGUGAAAUUGAACUCGCUGUGAAGAUGCAGUGUACCCGCGGCAAGACGGAAAGACCCCGUGAACCUUUACUAUAGCUUGACACUGAACAUUGAGCCUUGAUGUGUAGGAUAGGUGGGAGGCUUUGAAGUGUGGACGCCAGUCUGCAUGGAGCCGACCUUGAAAUACCACCCUUUAAUGUUUGAUGUUCUAACGUUGGCCCGUAAUCCGGGUUGCGGACAGUGUCUGGUGGGUAGUUUGACUGGGGCGGUCUCCUCCUAAAGAGUAACGGAGGAGCACGAAGGUUGGCUAAUCCUGGUCGGACAUCAGGAGGUUAGUGCAAUGGCAUAAGCCAGCUUGACUGCGAGCGUGACGGCGCGAGCAGGUGCGAAAGCAGGUCAUAGUGAUCCGGUGGUUCUGAAUGGAAGGGCCAUCGCUCAACGGAUAAAAGGUACUCCGGGGAUAACAGGCUGAUACCGCCCAAGAGUUCAUAUCGACGGCGGUGUUUGGCACCUCGAUGUCGGCUCAUCACAUCCUGGGGCUGAAGUAGGUCCCAAGGGUAUGGCUGUUCGCCAUUUAAAGUGGUACGCGAGCUGGGUUUAGAACGUCGUGAGACAGUUCGGUCCCUAUCUGCCGUGGGCGCUGGAGAACUGAGGGGGGCUGCUCCUAGUACGAGAGGACCGGAGUGGACGCAUCACUGGUGUUCGGGUUGUCAUGCCAAUGGCACUGCCCGGUAGCUAAAUGCGGAAGAGAUAAGUGCUGAAAGCAUCUAAGCACGAAACUUGC
rnacentral:rRNA from 1 species